UACGUAGGUGGCAAGCGUUGUCCGGAAUUAUUGGGCGUAAAGCGCGCGCAGGCGGUCCUUUAAGUCUGAUGUGAAAGCCCACGGCUCAACCGUGGAGGGUCAUUGGAAACUGGGGGACUUGAGUACAGAAGAGAAGAGUGGAAUUCCACGUGUAGCGGUGAAAUGCGUAGAGAUGUGGAGGAACACCAGUGGCGAAGGCGGCUUUCUGGACAGUAACUGACGCUGAGGCGCGAAAGCUAGGGGAGCGAACAGG
rnacentral:rRNA from 1 species